ensembl:lncRNA
GAUUCAGCAGAUCAUUUCUCAACCUUCUUGUUAAUGAGCAAACAAGCUUCAUUAAAGCCACGUUGAGCUGGGUUUCUCUCAUCUCCCCAGUCCUCCAUGCUGGAAACCUCUUCUGUAUCCUGCUCCUCACCGGCUACGUCCACUGGCACUAGGGCAUUCAUUCACUUGCUCACUCACUCAUUCAGUCACAUUUUUGAGUGCCCUGAUCUAGGAUCUACUGAUACAGGCAGGCCCCUGUGCUGCGUCUCUGCCAUGUCAGUAGUGAGAGACGGAUCGAGUUACCAGGACACGCAGUGACUUCAGACAGGGUGACGGGAUAGAGGGUUGGGCAGCCGCUCCUUUAAAUCACAAGGUCAGGAACUGGCUCUCUUGUGCGGGGACACUGACGUUAAAAAUGGAACGAGGAGCAAAAGGAAAAGGAAAGCAUUUCAAGCUGAGAAAACAAGUACCAAGGUCCUGAGGUUGGAUGAAAGGAAGGAGGCAUUGAUCCAGGCUGUAGAAACAAUUAAAAGUUGAAUGAAUUAAAGAGAAAAUUUGCACUCCAGGAAGAUGUGCCAUGUUUCUUCUCUAGGAUUUACUGAUACCCCAACACACUGCCACUA